UUAAUUCGAUGCAAAUGAAGAAUCUUAUUAGGACUUGACAUAUGGUAAAUCUUCUUGAAAGAGAAGGGUGCAUUCAGAAACAGGGGCACAAGUGGUGCAUGGUUUUUGUCGGCUCGUGUUAUAUGGUGUUGGGUUAAAUCCUGCAUCGAGCGUAACCCUCGUAUUUAAUUGUCAUUGUUGAGUUUGAAACCCUGAAUAGACUGUCGAUGAUAAGUCAGAGUAAGAUGAAGAUAACGUCCAGCCAUCAUGCUGCUCAUGCAUAUAUU
rnacentral:ncRNA from 1 species